rnacentral:rRNA from 1 species
UCGAGCGGUAAGGCCUUUCGGGGUACACGAGCGGCGAACGGGUGAGUAACACGUGGGUGAUCUGCCCUGCACUUCGGGAUAAGCCUGGGAAACUGGGUCUAAUACCGGAUAUGACCUCAGGUUGCAUGACUUGGGGUGGAAAGAUUUAUCGGUGCAGGAUGGGCCCGCGGCCUAUCAGCUUGUUGGUGGGGUAAUGGCCUACCAAGGCGACGACGGGUAGCCGACCUGAGAGGGUGACCGGCCACACUGGGACUGAGACACGGCCCAGACUCCUACGGGAGGCAGCAGUGGGGAAUAUUGCACAAUGGGCGAAAGCCUGAUGCAGCGACGCCGCGUGAGGGAUGACGGCCUUCGGGUUGUAAACCUCUUUCAGCAGGGACGAAGCGCAAGUGACGGUACCUGCAGAAGAAGCACCGGCUAACUACGUGCCAGCAGCCGCGGUAAUACGUAGGGUGCAAGCGU